CGCGCUUGGACGUCCGGGGGGCACCGCGUCGCGAUGCCGCGUGUUUGUUUGAAGCUGGGGCUGGCGGCGAGGCUCGCUCCGUGGGGCGGCACGUACAGGGUGUGAGCGCUGCGGGGCGGCAACCGCCGUGGGGUCGCGGGCCGGGGGUAAAGCGCCGCGGCGGCGUGGGGACGGAGGGGCAAACUGCAGGUCCCGGCGUGCCCCGCGCCCCGCGGGGAGGGAGAUGGGAGAGCGACGGGGCUGGCUCCGGGCCGGAAGCGGCGCGGGGCACUUUGGGAGGCGUAGUUCGUGGAGGAGGCGGCCGCGUGGGCGGCGGGGUCCCAUUUUGCCCUGGUACGGGCGGUGCCCGGCGGGGCUCGGCGUGGCCCGCGCCAUUUUGAGCUAAGGCCGGUGGCCGGGGGAGCGCCCUCGGGGGCUGCUGGGCAAGCGCUGCCCGACUGCGCCGACGGCCCUGAAGCGCUGAGGGUAGAAGCAGCCUCGUCGUAGAGCGGGGCGGCUCUCCGUUGCACUUAGUUGUCAUUUAAUUUAUCCGUUCUCACGCCGCCACCUGUAACGACAUGCCCCAUUCUAUUCUAAUAAGAGGUUAGCGCGUCUUGAAGAAGUCAGUGGCCCUGUUACUUCGACGUAUGAGGCAGAAACUUUCAGUGGUGUCCAAUAUGUUGUUCAGAAGCAUUAAGCCUGUCGUGGAAACACCAUCGGAACUAGAAGAGUAUUUGGUACACGCAAGUGGAUUUUCCUGAAGGCUGUGUAUGUUUUGAAUCAUCUGGAGAUAAAUUGAAUGGCGUAUGAACAGGUUUUAAUAAUGGAGAAGUUGAGCAUUGUGACGAAAGAGGUCCUGGCAACUAUUCUACAGCACUACAAGAGGGGUGCUUGAAGGCUGCUUCUUGAAGGCAGGAAAACUGUCACAAGUGUAUGAACAAAUGCUUUUAAUUUGUUCAGUGAGUUGGAACGUUUUUGUCAGUGCUGCUUGACAUAUGUGGAUGAUCUGUAACUGGAAGAAAGUGUAACACCUGAAGAAAUGUUCUCGCUUGGAGUGGGACCAUGCUUUUAAAAUCCUGCUGAAGCAGUUGUUGAAAUUGUUUAGCAGAUACCUGUUAUCAAAAACUGCAUGUGAACCAGAAUUACUGUCUCUGUAUUUAAAAUAACGCUUUUCCCAAAACAUCAAACUGCCCUCUUUGGGAAGAAUAACAGUAGCAUUAGGGAAAUGACUGGUGAGCUUCAAUGUAUGAAGAAGAAACAGAUUAUUGGCCCUUAUGAAAUGCAAGGGUAUGCAGACUUUUUGAUCGUGAGCAUCUGUAAUAACUCAGAACAAUGGAAGUUGCAGGUGGGCCAUGCAGCAUUGGUACAUGAAUUCAAACUACCGAGUGCUUCUUGAAGAUGUCACCUGGGAAAUGGAAGGAAGUAGAUGAGGUGGUGUGGAAGCAUCAACAUGAAACACUUGUAAAAAGAAGCGCUUGAAAAUUUGGGGGGGGCAUGAGGGAAAUUGUGGUUACAGAAAAGGAAUGGACUAAAGCUUUCAUUUUCUUCUGUAUUUAGUUGGGGAGAGAAGGAAGUGGGGGUUUUAGUGUGCUGCCAUUUUAGUGUGAAAAGACCGGUAUCAGAACUGGAACCGUGCCCACUGAAGAAGACAUUGGCAGCGUUACCUGUUCCCGGUGUGGGAGGAAAAGGAGUGUAAACAUGGGAACUUUUGCUUGGAGCUGUCACUAACCACACAGUAACAUGUUAACAGUAUAUUUGUUGUAUUAAGCAAAUCACCUCUCUUCUACCAAGGAAGAGAGGGAUCAUAAAUUGGUUGUCUGAGUAAGUUGCCUUUAAAGACAAAUUAUGCACAGAAGAUGCAAUCCACCUUAAGGUGUGGCUCUUGUACUGCAUUCUCAGGAAUGCUUUAUAAAGGAGGGAAUGUGACAACUGCAUGGUAGCCAAUGAUCUGUAGUGCUGUGGUUACUGAAUGAUUUUGGAAUGUACCAAAAAACAGAAACAACCCUGUAGUCUGCAGCCAAAAAUGACAGCAUUGAACACUAGCAGUUUACUUUCUUUAGGGAUCUUGAAGAACUUCAUGAAAUAUACUUAUUUGUAAACACCAAAUACUUGAAAGGCCCCUUUUCGUAUCAGUGCAGCACUACAGAAGCAGAAAACACUAAGUAGCAGCAUCUGAAGCAUUGGAAAGGUCAGAAGUAAGUAACUAAAACUACAGAAACGUACAUUAAUGAUGUGACUGAACUCCAGGAGUGGCUUGGCUUACUGCAUAACCUCUGCUUUGGUUAUUCAGUAAGUAAGAACCAGCUGCUUUGGCUGGCCUGAGGCUGCUUCUCAGUGAGUGUGUAAAUCAUUCUUUUGAAUGUAUCAUCAGGAGGUGCAGAAUUUUACUACAGAAAAACUUUCCCUUCACGGCAUUCAUCAGGAAUUAUUAUCUGUUAAAUGUUGCUGAGAAGGGUAGGUAUUUCUAUGCUGUGUUUUGUACACGCUCUUUCUUGAAUAAAGAUGAGGAUGUGGAAAACUUUA